CCUACGGGAGGCAGCAGUGGGGAAUAUUGCACAAUGGAGGGAACUCUGAUGCAGCGACGCCGCGUGAGUGAAGAAGUAAUUCGUUAUGUAAAGCUCUAUCAGCAGGGAAGAAAGUGACGGUACCUGAAAAAGAAGCUCCGGCUAAAUACGUGCCAGCAGCCGCGGUAAUACGUAUGGAGCAAGCGUUAUCCGGAUUUACUGGGUGUAAAGGGAGAGUAGGUGGCAGAGCAAGUCCGAAGUGAAAACCCAAAGCUCAACUAUGGGAAUGCUUUAGAAACUGCUCAGCUAGAGUGCAGGAGAGGCAAGUGGAAUUCUUAGUGUAGCGGUGAAAUGCGUAGAUAUUAGGAGGAACACCAGUGGCGAAGGCGGCUUGCUGGACUGUAACUGACACUGAGGCUCGAAAGCGUGGGGAGCAAACAGGAUUAGAUACCCCAGUAGUC
rnacentral:rRNA from 1 species